AGGAAAGCAUUGGUUUAUGUGUGAAGGAAGUUUUUCAAGAUUCCCUGAUGAUCUCCUACACUUGGUUUGGCCGUGAGGAAAACCAACGGCCAUUAUAUAAUACUCGCUUAGUAAAAGCUAUUUACGAUGCCAUCUGCGAAAAUAAAAAUUUUGCGAAACCAAUGCGGGCUGCAUUUCAAACAUAUAUGCGGGAUGCUGUGCGGACGGCCAAACAAAGACAUCGAAAUAAGGGUCGCAACAAUUCGAAUCGUCCAGAAGGAGGCCAUC